rnacentral:rRNA from 1 species
CGAGGAAUCUUGGUCAAUGGGCGAAAGCCUGAACCAGCGACGCCGCGUGGAGGACGAAGGCCCUUGGGUUGUAAACUCCUUUUGCCGGGGAAGAGUGGAAGACGGUACCCGGCGAAUAAGCCACGGCUAACUACGUGCCAGCAGCCGCGGUAAUACGUAGGUGGCGAGCGUUGUCCGGAUUUACUGGGCGUAAAGCGCGCGUAGGCGGCUUGGUCAGUCCGAUGUGAAAGGUUCCGGCCCAACCGGGACACGGCACAAGAUACUGCCAGGCUUGAGGGCAGCAGAGGCCGGUGGAAUUCCCGGUGGAGUGGUGAAAUGCGUAGAUAUCGGGAGGAACACCAGUGGCGAAGGCGGCCGACUGGGCUGUGCCUGACGCUGAGGCGCGAAAGCGUGGGGAGCGAACCGGAUUAGAUACCCGCGUAGUCC